GGGGGGGUGUGGGCGGGGCCGUGGGGCAGGGCUCAGGUCCCGCUGUGGGGAAUGGCAUCCAAGAAGCGUCCCCCCCCCCAAUGCCAGGGGAGGGACAGGUGUGCAGGCAUCCCCCCACAAAUCCCGUCCUGAGGGAGAGGAUGUGCCCUUCAGCACUGGGCAGAGGCAGGGAGCAGAUCUGAGGCCCACGAUCUCGCCGGGACCCCCCAGAGCGCCACUGUUCUCCAGCGGCCUGCACCUUCCUAUACUUUUCUUCCAUCCUCUUGCCUCAAAAGACCAGCACCCUCGGCAGCCCGGAGGUUGGGGACGGCAAGCGUGAAGAUGUCCGAUGUCUGUGCCCCCUCUCCUCCUUACCAGCAGAACUCCAGUUUCGUCCAAGGUGGCGGUUUUCCCGGCUGAAACACUGACCCCUCCGCCCUCCUUCCCAGCUGACGUGCAUGAAGCAAUCGGUCCCCAACGAUGAGACUCGAAGGAAAGUCGCCCGGGGGGUGGUAGGAGGGGCACACACCAGGGGCGCCCACGCUGUGGCCUCUUGCCUUUUCUCUCUCCUCCGUCCUUCUGCCGGAGACACAAGUGCGGUCCUCCAAGGCACAACAGCCAUCUUGCACCACGAAGGAGACAGCUCCAGGCCACUGGUGGCGGCGAUGGCGCGGGAAAGCCAGGAGGAGCCUGGGUCCGCGGUGGGUCAUGCUGUCCUAGCGGACGAAGUGGGCAAUGCUGUUAGACCCAUUGCACAGAGCAGCAAACUGAGGCUUGUCAGGUUAAUAAACUACCCAAGAUCUUGCAGAUCUUAGAUGACAGAGCCUGCUGCGGGCUGAACUGUGCGCUCUCCGAAUUCAGACAUGGAAACCCCCGCCCUCCUAGUACCUUUGACUGGGAGCGCGUUUGGAAAUAAGAUCAAAUGAGGUCGCUGGGGUGGGCCGGUCUCCUCAGCCCAUCAGUACCCCGUGCUGUGGUUGGACAAGCCCUCGUGGCUCGGACUACGAUUGCAAGAUGUCUUUGGGCAGCGCUCAUCGGAAAACUUGGAAAUAAAGGUUUAUUGCUUACA